rnacentral:rRNA from 1 species
GAUGAACGCUGGCGGCGUGCCUAACACAUGCAAGUCGAACGAAGCACUGUUAACGGAGAUUCGUCGAAGUUAACUUUGACUUAGUGGCGGACGGGUGAGUAAUGUAUGAGCAACCUGCCUUUCAGAGGGGGACAACAGUUGGAAACGACUGCUAAUACCGCAUAAUGUACCGUGAGGGCAUCCUCGUGGUACCAAAGGAGCAAUCCGCUGAAAGAUGGGCUCAUAUCUGAUUAGCUAGUUGGUGAGGUAACGGCUCACCAAGGCUUCGAUCAGUAGCCGGACUGAGAGGUUGAACGGCCACAUUGGGACUGAGAUACGGCCCAG